rnacentral:rRNA from 1 species
GAUGAACGCUGGCGGCGUGCCUAAUACAUGCAAGUCGAGCGAAGCGGGGACGGGUGAGUAACACGUCGAUAACCCCCCAUAAGACUGGGAUUACUUCGGGAAACCGGUGCUAAACCGGCUACUGAUCGAUGGAUCCGCGGUGCAUUAGCUAGUUGGUAAGUUAACGGCUUACCAAGGCAACGACGCAUAGCCGACCUGAGAGGGUGAUCGGCCACACGGGAACUGAGACACGGUCCAGACUCCUACGGGAGGCAGCAGUAGGGAAUCUUCCGCAAUGGGCGAAAGCCUGACGGAGCAACGCCGCGUAAGUGAUGAAGGUCUUCGGAUCGUAAAACUCUUUUAUUAGGGAAGCGUUACCUAACCAGAAAGCCACGGCUAACUACGUGCCAGCCGCCGCGGUAAUUC